rnacentral:misc_RNA from 1 species
CCGAGUUUACAACUCCUAAACCACUGUGAAUAUACCUGUAGUUCCUUUGGCAGGCGGCCCCUGGGAGGGGCCGUAGCCUCGCGGCGCCUGUCAUUGGAGAAACUCUGGCGUCGUUAGAACUCUGAGCUUCUAUAAAAUAGAAUCA